UACGUAGGGUGCGAGCGUUGUCCGGAAUUAUUGGGCGUAAAGGGCUCGUAGGCGGUCUGUUGCGUCAGGAGUGAAAACUCGGGGCUUAACCCCGAGCCUGCUUCUGAUACGGGCAGACUAGAGGUAUGCAGGGGAGAACGGAAUUCCGGGUGGAGUGGUGAAAUGCGUAGAGAUCCGGAGGAACACCGAAGGCGAAGGCAGUGUCCUGGUGAGUAUCCUGACGCUGAGGUGCGAAAGCCAGGGGAGCGAACGGG
rnacentral:rRNA from 1 species